rnacentral:lncRNA from 1 species
CCUCAACAUGUUUAACCCCUCAAGGAGUCAUAUAUAUAUGUCCGCCAUAAAUCCGGAAAUCAUAUCAGAGAGCCUUUGGUCGUUUAGUUUAUUCAUUUUUUAAAUCUUUUAAGAAUGUGAUGUUAUUGGCAGAACUAUGAUUGUCUUUGCUGAAUUACUCCACCUACGAUGAUAUACAGGGCUAUUAAGUUAUGACAUUAACGAGAAACAUUCACCUUUCUACAGUAUGUUGAUCUAGAGAUAGUCUUUU